GACAGAGGGUGCUAGCGUUGUUCGGAAUUACUGGGCGUAAAGGGCGCGUAGGCGGUCUGUUAAGUUCGGUGUGAAAUCCCCUGGCUCAACUGGGGAGCUGCGCUGGAAACUGGCAGACUCGAGUACCGGAGAGGAGAGUGGAAUUCCUGGUGUAGCGGUGAAAUGCGUAGAUAUCAGGAGGAACACCGGUGGCGAAGGCGGCUCUCUGGACGGAUACUGACGCUGAGGCGCGAAAGCGUGGGGAUCAAACAGG
rnacentral:rRNA from 1 species